GGGGAGUACGAUCGCAAGAUUAAACUCAAAGGAAUUGACGGGGGCCCGCACAAGCGGUGGAGCAUGUGGUUUAAUUCGACGCAACGCGAAGAACCUUACCAGGUCUUGACAUCCUGAUUUUGGUCGUUAGAAAUAACUUCCUUCAGUUCGGCUGGAUCAGUGACAGGUGCUGCAUGGCUGUCGUCAGCUCGUGUCGUGAGAUGUUGGGUUAAGUCCCGCAACGAGCGCAACCCUUAUCUUCAGUUGCCAUCAGGUUAUGCUGGGCACUCUGAAGAAACUGCCGGUGAUAAGCCGGAGGAAGGCGGGGAUGACGUCAAGUCCUCAUGGCCCUUAUGACCUGGGCUACACACGUGCUACAAUGGCAGUGACAAUGAGCAGCGAUAGCGCGAGCUUCAGCUAACCUCAAAAAUCUGUCUCAGUUCGGAUUGAACUCUGCAACUCGAGUUCAUGAAGUUGGAAUCGCUAGUAAUCGUAGAUCAGCAUGCUACGGUGAAUAUGUUCUCGGGUCUUGUACACACCGCCCGUCACACCAUGGAAGUGGAUUGCACCAGAAGUAGAUAGUCUAACCUUCGGGAGGGCGUUUACCACGGUGUGCUUCAUGACUGGGGUGAAGUCGUAACAAGGUAACC
rnacentral:rRNA from 1 species